rnacentral:rRNA from 1 species
AACGCUAGCUACAGGCUUAACACAUGCAAGCCGAGCGGGCAGCAUGAACUUAGCUUGCUAAGUUUGAUGGCGACCGGCGCACGGGUGAGUAACACGUAUCCAACCUGCCGAUGACUCGGGGAUAGCCUUUCGAAAGAAAGAUUAAUACCCGAUGGCAUGGUUCUUCCGCAUGGUAGAACUAUUAAAGAAUUUCGGUCAUCGAUGGGGAUGCGUUCCAUUAGGUUGUUGGCGGGGUAACGGCCCACCAAGCCUUCGAUGGAUAGGGGUUCUGAGAGGAAGGUCCCCCACAUUGGAACUGAGACACGGUCCAAACUCCUACGGGAGGCAGCAGUGAGGAAUAUUGGUCAAUGGACGAGAGUCUGAACCAGCCAAGUAGCGUGAAGGAUGACUGCCCUAUGGGUUGUAAACUUCUUUUAUACGGGAAUAAAGUGAGGCACGCGUGCCUUUUUGUAUGUACCGUAUGAAUAAGGAUCGGCUAACUCCGUGCCAGCAGCCGCGGUAAUACGGAGGAUGCGAGCGUUAUCCGGAUUUAUUGGGUUUAAAGGGAGCGUAGACGGGAGAUUAAGUCAGUUGUGAAAGGCUGCGGCUCAACCGCAGCACUGCAGUUGAUACUGGUUUCCUUGAGUUCGGUUGAGGUGUAUGGAAUUCGUGGUGUAGCGGUGAAAUGCUUAGAUAUCACGAAGAACUCCGAUUG